GUCCAGAGAAGCCUGGGCUUUCCCCUGAGUCCCCAGGGACCCCGUUGCCGGGCUCAGGCCCUCUCAGGAGCCCAUUCUGUCCUCCACGCGGGUCUUAAGGAUGGAAUUCUGCAUCCCUGGCCCCUCCCAGAUGGAGCCCUGGACACUGCGGAGGCUGAGCCUCAGUAUUCCCCAUGCCCCAGAGCUGUGCUGUCCCCCAGGCUGGGAGCUGGGGCAGAAGUCAACUCCAGCCUACAUGGGCCCAGCAGCUACCUCCAGAUGCCCCAAAACAGGUGCAAAGGGAUACCCAGCUGCUCAUGAAAAUGAAUCCCAGAUGGAGACAAAGAGCCCUGCCUGGCCCUGGCCUGGCGUGGCCGGAUGUCCCUUUCCACCUUCCUGCUCACAGAGGAGGCUGGGCUUCUGAGGCCUGAGGGGCCAGGCAGGAAGCCAUGGGCCACAAGGCACCCCUGGGCCCCCGCUCCCCGACUUCCUGCAUGGUAGAAGGCCCGUCCCGGGGCCAACUGCCUCUGCCACCACUGCCUGGAUGAGUGAGGGCAGGAGGUGGAAGGGAACCAUUUAGUGCCGAUUUAACUAUUAUUACCAAAUCAUCAGGAUUGAUGCAGUGCGCACACGCACGCGCCAAUCGUGUUUGGAGGAGCUCGGAGGAUUUAUGCAAAUGGGCCUGCCGGGAGAGGCAAUUUGUAGCCGAGAAGGACAAUUAUACCAGGCCCGGGAGUGCGCCAACGACUGCGCCGGGCGGGUAAUGGAUAAUAACAUCGCGCCGGCAGCCGUGAGCAGCUCCACAGCGUGACCAACGACUUUAUACAGUGCAGAUAAAGAGGCCUGCACGCAACACCGCCUCACACUCCAGGGGGGCCGGGCGGGGACGAUGCCACAGCCAGGUGUGCAGAGCCGGCGUGGCUGGGCCUGGGGGCCGUGACUUCCAGAGGGGGACCCGGGCCAGGGUGGUGCUGGGAGCUGCCAGAAGGGCAAAGCCUGUCUGGAGCAGGGCUCUGUCUGCUGGUCACUCUCGAUGGUCUAGGAAGGGCAGGGCCAGGCCUUCAGAGUAGGUGUGAAGGGGCACCAGCAGCCUGGAAGCCUCAGGGGAGCCUGGACCCUGCUCCCCAGCCUCGAGGGCCCAGGGCCGGCCACACGCGCCCUGCCAUGCCAGUGCCCAGG
rnacentral:lncRNA from 1 species